UACAGAGGUGCCGAGCGUUAGGCGGAAUCACUGGGCUUAAAGCGUGUGUAGGCGGCCCGUUAAGUGUCUUGUGAAAUCCCCCGGCUCAACCGGGGAACGGCUGGGCAUACUGGCGGGCUUGGGUCGCUCAGGGGCAGACGGAACAGGCGGUGGAGCGGUGAAAUGCGUAGAUAUCGCCUGGAACGCCGAAGGUGAAAACAGUCUGCUGGGGGCGCACCGACGCUGAGACACGAAAGCCAGGGGAGCGAACGGG
rnacentral:rRNA from 1 species